CACUGCCUGCCCGGUGACACACGUUUAACGGCCGCGGUACCCUGACCGUGCAAAGGUAGCAUAAUCACUUGUUCUUUAAAUAGGGACUCGCAUGAAUGGCAUCACGAGGGUUUAACUGUCUCUUAUUUUUAACCAGUGAAAUUGACCUGUCCGUGAAGAGACGGACAUAAAACAAUAAGACGAGAAGACCCUGUGGAGCUUUAAUUUACCAGUACAACUAAAAACUAUACAGACCUACAGGUCCCUAAACCCUCGUACCUGUACUAAAAUUUUGGUUGGGGUGACCUCGGAGCACAACCAAACCUCCGAAAAAUCCAUGCUAAGACUACACAAGCCUAAGCAAACUAACACCUACAAUUGAUCCAAUAACUUGAUCAACGGAACAAGUUACCCCAGGGAUAACAGCGCAAUUCUAUUCUAGAGUCCAUAUCGACAAUAGAGUUUACGACCUCGAUGUUGGAUCAGGACAUCCUAAUGGUGCAGCAGCUAUCAAG
rnacentral:rRNA from 1 species